rnacentral:rRNA from 1 species
AAUGAACGCUGGCGGCGUGCCUAACACAUGCAAGUCGAGCGAAAAGACGAGAAGCUCUUUCCUCUGCCGUUAGCGACUGGCGGAUGAGUGACACGUGCAUAACCUACUUCUUUUUCUGGGAUAAUUUCGUGAAAACGCAGACACUACUGGCUCAUAUAUCCAACCGCAUGGUUCAAUAGUGAAAGACGGUUUUGCCGUCUCUUAUAGACGAAUCCGCGUUGCAUUAGUUAGUUGGUAAGGUAACGGCUUACCAAGGCGACGAUGCGUAGCUGAGCUGAGAGGGUGAUCGGCCACACUGGAACUGAGACACGGUCCAGACUCCUACGGGAGGCAGCAGUAGGGAAUCUUCCGCAAUGGGCGAAAGCCUGACGGAGCAACGCCGCGUGAGUGAAGAAGGCCUUCGGAUCGUAAAGCUCUGUUGUUAGGAAAGAACAACUGUGGGUUUAUAUAUGCACGUCUUGACGGUACCUAAAGAGAAAGCAACGGCUAACUACGUG